rnacentral:rRNA from 1 species
GGCUUUUUGAUAAUAAUUUAAAGUUUGGCCUGCCCACUGAUUGAUUGAAGGGCCGCGGUAUUUUGACCGUGCUAAGGUAGCAUAAUCAUUAGUUUUUUAAUUGAAAACUUGUAUGAAUGGUCGGAUAAAAAAAUAACUGUCUCUAAUUAAUUUAAAUUGAAUUUUAUUUUUAAGUUAAAAAGCUUAAAUAAUUUUAAAAGACGAGAAGACCCUAUAGAGUUUUACAUAUAAUUUUUUUUAAGGUUUUAGAAUUAUUAAUUUAGAGAUUUUUAUAUGUUUGGUUGGGGUGACUAAAAAAUUUAAUAAACUUUUUUUAAAUUGAAUCAUUAAUAUAUGAAAAAUUGAUCCAAAUUUUUUGAUUAUAAGAUWAAAUUACCUUAGGGAUAACAGCGUAAUUUUUAUAGAGAGUUCAAAUCGAAAUAAAAGAUUGCGACCUCGAUGUUGGAUUAAAAUUAAUUUAUGGUGCAGAAGCUAUAAAUUUAGGUCUGUUCGACCUUUAAAAUUUUACAUGA